rnacentral:rRNA from 1 species
UUAGACCUCAGAUCAGGCAAGACUACCCGCUG